ACACAUGCAGUCGAACGGCAGCGCGGGGAGCUUGCUCCCUGGCGGCGAGUGGCGGACGGGUGAGUAACACAUAGGAAUCUGCCCAGUAGCGGGGGACAACCCGGGGAAACCCGGGCUAAUACCGCAUACGCCCUACGGGGGAAAGCAGGGGAUCUUCGGACCUUGUGCUAUUGGAUGAGCCUAUGUCGGAUUAGCUUGUUGGUGAGGUAAUGGCUCACCAAGGCGACGAUCCGUAGCUGGUCUGAGAGGACGAUCAGCCACACUGGGACUGAGACACGGCCCAGACUCCUACGGGAGGCAGCAGUGGGGAAUAUUGGACAAUGGGCGCAAGCCUGAUCCAGCAAUGCCGCGUGUGUGAAGAAGGCCUUAGGGUUGUAAAGCACUUUCAGUAAGGAAGAAAAGCGGGGCGAUAAUACCGCCUAGUCUUGACGUUACUUACAGAAGAAGCACCGGCUAACUCUGUGCCAGCAGCCGCGGUAAUACAGAGGGUGCGAGCGUUAAUCGGAAUCACUGGGCGUAAAGGGCGCGUAGGCGGCGAAGUAAGUCGGAUGUGAAAGCCCUGGGCUUANCUAGGAACUGCAUUCGAUACUGCUUGGCUAGAGUAUGGU
rnacentral:rRNA from 1 species